rnacentral:rRNA from 1 species
UCCGGUUGAUCCUGCCGGACCCGACUGCUAUCGGAGUGGGGCUAAGCCAUGCGAGUCGUACGCUUCUUGACUGCAAGAGGCGUGGCGAACGGCUCAGUAACACGUAGCUAACUUAACCUAGAGACGUGGAUAACCCCGGGAAACUGGGACUAAUCCGCGAUAGAUCAAGGCUCCUGGAAUGGGCUUUGGUCGAAAGGGAUGGACAAGCAUGUUUUGUCCAUCUGCUCUAGGAUAGGGCUGCGGCCGAUCAGGUUGUUGGUGGGGUAAUGGCCCACCAAGCCUAUAACCGGUACGGGCUUUGAGAGAAGGAGCCCGGAGAUGGACACUGAGACAAGGGUCCAGGCCCUACGGGGCGCAGCAGGCGCGAAACCUUCGCAAUACGCGAAAGCGUGACGAGGUCACUCCGAGUGCCACUCGCUGAGGGUGGCUUUUCCCAAGUCUAAAAAGCUUGGGGAAUAAGGGGAGGGUAAGUCUGGUGUCAGCCGCCGCGGUAAUACCAGCUCCCCGAGUGGUCGGGACGUUUAUUGGGCCUAAAGCAUCCGUAGCCGGUCUUGUAGGUCUUCUGUUAAACCCAACGGCCCAACCGUUGGACUGCAGAAGAUACCGCAGGACUAGGAGGCGGGAGAGGCGGACGGUACUCCAUGGGUAGGGGUAAAAUCCUUUGAUCCAUGGAAGACCACCAGUGGCGAAGGCGGUCCGCCAGAACGCGCUCGACGGUGAGGGAUGAAAGCUGGGGGAGCGAACCGGAUUAGAUACCCGGGUAGUCCCAGCCGUAAACGAUGCGAGCUAGGUGAUGGAGUGGCUGUGUGCCAUUCCAGUGCCGCAGGGAAGCCGUUAAGCUCGCCGCCUGGGGAGUACGGCCGCAAGGCUGAAACUUAAAGGAAUUGGCGGGGGAGCACCACAAGGGGUGAAGCCUGCGGUUUAAUUGGAGUCAACGCCGGGAACCUUACCCAGGGAGACAGCAGAAUGAAGGUCAGGCUAAAGACCUUACCAGACAAGCUGAGAGGAGGUGCAUGGCC